rnacentral:tRNA from 1 species
CCUUUAGCUCAGUGGAUAAAGCGUUCGGCUCCGGACCGAAAGACGCAGGUUCGAUUCCUGUAAGGU